rnacentral:rRNA from 1 species
AUGGGCGCGAAAGACAAGGCGCAGGCCCGGGCCCGGGCCCCGCCCCCCGCCGUCGUGCCGGACGAGGCGUACCUGGAGGCGGUGACGGGGAAGCGGGACCGCCUGUUCGAGCAGAUACUGGACAGGCAGGCCCGCCAGCGCGCCCAAAACGGCGGCAGUCCCAUCAAGAUAACUUUGCAUGAUGGCACGGUCAAGGAAGGGAAGAAGUGGAUGUCGACCCCUAUGGACAUCGCGAAGGAGAUAUCAAGCGGGCUAGCAGCUAGCUGUUUGAUAGCUCAAGUGAACGGAGGACUGUGGGACAUGACAAGGCCACUGGAAGGUGACUGCGAACUGAACUUGCUCACCUUCGAUAGCAAAGAAGGGCGGGACACUCUGUGGCACUCGAGUGCCCACAUUCUCGGAGAGGCUCUCAAGCGUGUGUACGGCUGCAAACUAUUUAUCGGUCCUUGUACUGCGAGAGGGGAAGGUUUCUACUACGACGCCUACUAUGACAAUGCCACACUGAAUGGCUCCCCUACAUUAUAUAGAUGUGGUCCUUUGGUUGACCUAUGCCGUGGACCGCACAUCCCGAAUACUUCCUUCGUUAAAGCUUUUGCUUGCCUCAAGGCUUCGUCCUCAUAUUGGAGGGGAAAAGCAGACCGUGAGAGCCUGCAGAGAGUAUAUGGGAUUUCUUUCCCUCAUUCUAAACUUCUCAAGGAAUAUCAAUGUAUGAUGGAGGAGGCUGCGGAGCGCGAUCAUAGGUUAUUGGGGGAGUCCCAGAAACUCUUCUUUUUCGAUUCGCUUAGCCCAGGAAGUUGCUUCUUCCUUCCACAUGGUAAAAAAAUAGUUAACAAAUUGAAGGCUUUUUUGCGACAAAAAUACAGGGACAGAGGCUACCAAGAGGUUGAGAGUCCAACUGUUCUCAAGAUGAAGCUUUGGGAAACAUCUGGGCAUAGUGCGAACUACAAGGAGAACAUGUUUGUUUUUGAGAUCGAUGGAGAGGAGUUUGGUCUUAAGCCAAUGUAUUGCCCUGGGCAUUGCAUAAUAUUUAAGCACGAGACUCGUUCUUACAGAGAGUUGCCACUGCGCAUUGCUGAUUUUGGAGUUCUUCACAGAAACGAGGCUAGUGGAGCACUUUCAGGCUUGACACGCGUUAGAAGAUUCCAACAGGAUGAUGCCCAUAUUUUUUGCAGAGAGAGCCAAAGACCAGAGAAGUAUUUAGGUGAUAUUGAAACCUGGAACAAAGCAGAACAACAACUGGCAGAAGCCUUGGAUGAGUUUGGGAAGCCAUGGGAGAUUAAUGAAGGAGAUGGUGCUUUCUAUGGCCCAAAAAUUGAUAUCGGUGUGUUUGAUGCCCUCAAAAGAAAAUUUCAGUGUGCAACACUUCAGCUGGAUUUUGCGCUGCCUGUUCGCUUCAAGCUGACUUAUGCAGCAGAGGAGGAAGCCAAGCUUGAGAGGCCUGUAAUCAUACAUAGGGCAAUACUAGGAUCGGUUGAAAGGAUGUUUGCCAUUCUUUUGGAGCAUUACUGCGGUAAAUGGCCGUUAUGGCUCAGCCCUCGUCAAGCCAUUGUUUGCUCUAUAUCGUCCGAUUCACUAGAAUAUGCAAAACAGGUUCAUGCUAAGAUACAUAACGCUGGAUUUGAUGUUGAAAUCGACAUGACUGAUAAGAAACUUCCGAAGAAGGUAUACGAUGCACAGUUAGCCCAGUUCAACUAUAUUCUUGCCGUGGGCCCAAAAGAGGUGGAAUCUGAAAUGGUUACCGUCAGGGUGAGAGAUAAGCGGGAACUCUCCACAAUGAGCGUUGACGAUCUCAUCUCUCUGUUAAGGGACGAAGUAGCGGCCUAUAGAUAG